UUACUGGGCGUAAAGGGCGUGUAGGCUGUUAGGUAAGUCAGAGGUGAAAUCCCUAAGCUCAACUUAGGAACUGCCUUUGAUACUAUCUAACUAGAGAUCGAGAGAAGUUGGCGGAAUUCCAAGUGUAGAGGUGAAAUUCGUAGAUAUUUGGAAGAACACCAGUGGCGAAAGCGGCCAACUGGCUCGUAUCUGACGCUGAGACGCGAAAGCGUGGGUAGCAAACAGGAUUAGAUACCCUGGUAGUCCACGCCGUAAACGAUGUGUGCUAGCCGUUUGUGAUUUAUCACAAGUGGUGCAGCUAACGCGUUAAGCACACCGCCUGGGGAGUACGAUCGCAAGAUUAAAACUCAAAGGAAUUGACGGGGGCCCGCACAAGCGGUGGAGCAUGUGGUUUAAUUCGACGCAACGCGAAGAACCUUACCAGGUCUUGACAUCCUGACUAUGGUUGUUAGAAAUAACUUCCUUCAGCUCGGCUGGGUCAGUGACAGGUGCUGCAUGGCU
rnacentral:rRNA from 1 species